rnacentral:snRNA from 1 species
GUGCUGACUUCAGUAGCACAUACACUAAGAUUGGAGCAAUAGAGAGGAAAGUCUAUCCAAAGGAGGUCACUAAUGUGUAGAGAAAAUCUUUGCACGACUCCUGUGCAAAGAUGAAACCCAAAUUUGUGAAGUAUUUCAUAUAUUU